rnacentral:rRNA from 1 species
GACGUAGGGGGCGAGCGUUGUCCGGAAUUAUUGGGCGUAAAGAGCUCGUAGGCGGUUUGUCGCGUCUGCUGUGAAAACUCGGGGCUCAACUCCGAGCUUGCAGUGGGUACGGGCAGACUAGAGUGCGGUAGGGGAGACUGGAAUUCCUGGUGUAGCGGUGGAAUGCGCAGAUAUCAGGAGGAACACCGGUGGCGAAGGCGGGUCUCUGGGCCGUAACUGACGCUGAGGAGCGAAAGCAUGGGGAGCGAACAGG